AGGGUAGAGCAUCAGGGAAUUUAAAGGUAUCAUUAUUGCAUGAAAACUGCUGAAUCAGGAACCUGAGUGGUAAACAACUGACUGAACCGCCUUAGCGCAUCUGAGAUAAGGGAGCACAUUGUUUAUUGUGCCUGAAACUUGUUUCCAAUACAAGGAUUGUGGCUCCUUCCUCAAGGAGGAACAAUAGUAGCGUGUAACCUUGAACGUACGUCCGGCUCUGCUGCUUGCUUUACAUUUGUAAUUGUGGCCUUAGACAAGGCCGAAUCUCUGUGACUUCAGCAAAAAGAUAAAAGAUUCUGAUCAUGGCUGAACCGUCUUUGUUUCCGUAUGUUUGCGUGUGAAUGAGGCCAACAUUAACUCAGAGUUGGCAUUUAAUGAAUACUCAUUGAAGGAAUGGUUGAGUAAUGAAACACAGACUCCAGUGCUGGAGAUCAAGCCUACAAAGGCACUUCCCCAGGAGAGGCACAGAAGCAAAGGCCCCGGGCUCUGGGUUUGUGGCGGCAGCUGCGGCUCCCGGCUCCUGUUAUCAUCACUGCUUGAUGUCAAUACUCAGCAAUGGAGUCCCAGGAAUAUUAUGA
rnacentral:lncRNA from 1 species